CUUUCGAACCCAGUUGGGAUCUGAAGAGUUGUUGCUGUUUGGCCAAAUUUCGAGUGUUCAGAAUUAGGGCAUUUGAUUAUUACUCUCUGCGAUUAUUUUCUGAAUUUGCUAUUUGUGGAUCUUAGAUGGGUGGGGAUCGUGAAAUAAGAAGAGAAAAAGUUCAUCCUCAUGGAACAACUCAGAAUCAGUGGUUGAUGCAGCCUCAGACAAUGGAGCAACUGAUGGCCAUUCUAGCUGAAAGGGAUGCUGCCAUCCAAGAAAGAAAUUUAGCCCUUUCAGAAAAAAAGGCUGUUUUGGCUCAGCGGGACUUGGCUAUUCUGGAGCGAGAUGCAGCAAUUGUGGAAAGGGAUAAUGCCCUACUGGAACGAGACAAUGUCAUUUCAACACUUCGAUACAGGGGGAACUCCAUGAACAGCUGCAACUGGGGGAAAAGGAAAGAGAAUGCAUGACGCAACAAAGUGGCUGAAGAAAGUUGAUGGAGGUUUGUUAGCAGUUGGAUUCUAGUCUCUGCGCAACCUUGAAGCAUGGAACAUUGUUUGGCUGCUGAAAGGAGGGAGGAAACGAAUAGAGGGAGAGAUGAUAACUUUUCAUUGUUAGCAUUCAAUGUGAAGAUAUUGUUUUAUUGACUUGAUGAAAUGCAGCAUCGGGAGCAAAGAAAAUCCGGGAGGAAAGAAUAAAGAGAAGAUUUUGGAAAAUGAACUAUUAUGGUUGUUUAUAGCUACAGAGAAUUAGUUAGAACUCCUAACAACUUUAACGACAUUGACUAUAUAUAGCUUAAUUCUUUAACACAUCCCCUCGAAUGAAAUAGUGAGUUGGUAACCUUGAGUAUGUCUCCUAAGCUUCAAGAAUCGUUGCAGAAAUAUACCUUUAGUGAGUGUAUCAACAACUUAUUCACAAGAA